rnacentral:rRNA from 1 species
CCGAGUGCUUGCACUCAAUUGGAAAGAGGAGUGGCGGACGGGUGAGUAACACGUGGGUAACCUACCCAUCAGAGGGGGAUAACACUUGGAAACAGGUGCUAAUACCGCAUAACAGUUUAUGCCGCAUGGCAUAAGAGUGAAAGGCGCUUUCGGGUGUCGCUGAUGGAUGGACCCGCGGUGCAUUAGCUAGUUGGUGAGGUAACGGCUCACCAAGGCCACGAUGCAUAGCCGACCUGAGAGGGUGAUCGGCCACACUGGGACUGAGACACGGCCCAGACUCCUACGGGAGGCAGCAGUAGGGAAUCUUCGGCAAUGGACGAAAGUCUGACCGAGCAACGCCGCGUGAGUGAAGAAGGUUUUCGGAUCGUAAAACUCUGUUGUUAGAGAAGAACAAGGACGUUAGUAACUGAACGUCCCCUGACGGUAUCUAACCAGAAAGCCACGGCUAACUACGUGCCAGCAGCCGCGGUAAUACGUAGGUGGCAAGCGUUGUCCGGAUUUAUUGGGCGUAAAGCGAGCGCAGGCGGUUUCUUAAGUCUGAUGUGAAAGCCCCCGGCUCAACCGGGGAGGGUCAUUGGAAACUGGGAGACUUGAGUGCAGAAGAGGAGAGUGGAACUUCAUUGGUUAG